rnacentral:sRNA from 1 species
AGUCCCAUGGGAUAAUUGUUGUCCCAUGGGACCAUGGGACCAAAAAAAUCCCAUGGGACUAUAAUUAUCCCAUGGGAUU